UACGUAGGAGACGAGCGUUGUCCGGAAUUACUGGGCGUAAAGCGCGUGUAGGCGGAUGAGCAAGUCUGCUGUGAAAGCUCCUGGCUUAACCGGGAGUGGUCGGUGGAAACUGCUCGUCUGGAGGACGGUAGAGGUAGGUAGAAUUCCCGGUGUAGUGGUGAAAUGCGUAGAGAUCGGGAGGAAUACCUGUGGCGAAGGCGGCCUACUGGGCCGGACAUGACGCUGAGACGCGAAGGCGUGGGGAGCGAACGGG
rnacentral:rRNA from 1 species